CUAAAAUGAUAAAACCAUUUAUUACAUGAAAAGGGUGAAAUAUGACUAAAAUUGCAAAGUUUGUUUAUGUCACGUUUAUCAUAUUUUCUCAAAUUUUUGCUACUAUGAAAGUUGAAUCGUUAUAUCCUAAUAUGACAUGUUCUAGUGAUUCGAAUUGUCCUCCAUCUAGGUGUCAAAGACCUAUGAUAGCAAAGUGUAUCAGAAAAUGGUGUAGAUGUGUAUCAGAAAAUGGUGUAGAUGUGUAGCUAGAGAAGAGUUUAUACCUCCUUAGUUUUGUAAAUAAAAUCAUUGUUGUUGUCUAUUUGAAUAAACUAGUAGAAGACCCGUGCGUUCGUACGAGUUUGACUUUUACAAAAUAAAAGUUAAGAAAUAUAUAUAAUGAAAGAAGAAGUAAGCGGGAAACAUAGCAAUUAUGAAUCCGAGUACUAAUCACGUAGUCAUGAAUGUAAUAGUACAAGACAAUAUGUAAUUGUAAUGAGAUAAGUAAAAGUGAAUUACAUAGCAAAAAUAUAUCAGAACGACUAAUAAUAAAGAAGAUAGUGUCGAUACGCAAAAUGACACGACUUGUAUACUGCAGGUAGCCUUGAAUAGAAAAAUCUUCAAGUCACCUGAAAUCAUUAGUAUUGAUAAAUGAAAUUAUGUUUUUCUUUAUAA